CUUGUACUCCCUCCGUCCAAAAAAAUACUUGUCAUUGAAAUGGAUGUAUCUAGAUGUAUUUUAGUUCUAGACACAUCCAUUUUGAUGACAAGUAAUUCCGUACGGAGGGAGUACUUG
rfam:Triticum aestivum genome assembly, contig: Triticum_aestivum_CS42_TGACv1_scaffold_129437_2BL